rnacentral:rRNA from 1 species
CGAACGGGUGAGUAACGCGUGAAUAACCUGACUCAAAGAGGGGGAUAACAACGGGAAACUGUUGCUAAUACCGCAUGAGACCACAACACCGCAUGAUGAAGGGGUCAAAGAUUUAUCGCUUUGAGAGGGGUUCGCGUCCCAUUAGGUAGUUGGAGGGGUAACGGCCCACCAAGCCAACGAUGGGUAGCCGAGCUGAGAGGUUGAUCGGCCACACUGGAACUGAGACACGGUCCAG